AUUGAUAUAGGGAAAAUAAAUAAAAGAAGAGAUUAUUGGCCCAAUGAAUGAGGAAGAACAGUGCAAAGGAGAGUUGAGGCAUUGGAAAGCUAAUUUGUGGGUAAGCUUCUCACUUUGAUUGGUAAUUAUCCUGCAUUGGUGAAUAAAUUAUGAAAAAUUUAAUAGUUCAUAAAUUUAUAAAUUUAUUGUUUAUAAAAUUAUAAAAUUAUUGUUAGAUUGCUGAAUAAAUUGUCAAUCUUUGAUGUUUAUCAAUGCCACCUCCAAGAGGGUUGAGACCUUGGGAAUUGUUGAAUUCCCAAUACUAGGCCGCAUCAGUAAAUUUGCUAUUUCCUGGGAUUCUUUGAUUUGGUUUUGAUUAUGGAAUCUAUAGCAAUGUAUAGAUCUUUUGAAGUUGGAUAUUUGACUAUUA